rnacentral:piRNA from 1 species
UGCCAUCUCUUCUGGCCUACACACUGGUUC